GUCAUUGCUUCUGCGAAGCUGCGACUCUGUUAAGAAAUAAAGAAAAUAAUAGGAAAGAAUUUUACUACUAGGAGAGACUUCGACUGACCAUUACAGAUCACUGCCAGUCAAACCCGCGUGAAUAGUAGCACAUUAACAGCCAAGAAGUUCAUCGGAGAGGUUAUUAGCCGAAUUUUAGCUUCGUUAACAAAAUUACAAAUCCUAUAACUCUGAAGCAAAGAGAUCGGACGAAAUCGAAUUAGCGAGGUUGGGAGUUAAGGCUGCACCGACUAUUUGACCUCUCCACAUCGCUCAGACGCUCACCAAUUUUCACCGUCGAAGAGACUGAUGGUCCAGUUUCAAAGAGAUUGGACGAAAUUCAUUAUAUCUUUUUGAAUGAGAUGCUGGUGUUUUCGAGUUUCGAUCUGUUAUGUGAUUCCUGAUUGUAAUGAUGUCAAGACCAAUGGUACUUGUUUUUCUGUUGGUGAUACUCAUCAUCACAUCCCAAUUUGAGUGGAAACAGCAAUUGGUCAAUGAACUCGACGCAAGUCCAAGUAUUUCCCAGAAGCAGCUGCAGACUUCUAAGAGGGAAGAAAUUGUAAAAGAAAAGAUCAUCUUAUCUCAAGAAAAGAAUAUUCAGAGACUCAACGAACUUGUUCGGACCCUCCGUGAACAGUUACAGCAAUGCAGGUGCAAUAAUGAUACAAUAAACAGCACUGUAACCCUUAAUGAAAAUUUAAAUGAGCUUGAGCGACAGCAUAUGUUGGAGGAUUGAUCAUAUAUGUUACAGACUAAUCUUGUGGUAAUUAAUUGAACACUGGAUCAUGGUGAAACAGCUUUCUAAGAGAGGGGUUAAAACAAUUUUGGUAGUUAACCAAGCUUUUUGGAUAGGAAUUCUUGUUCGGAUGACCACUCACUGUGAACUCAUGCCUAUAACUCAUUGGAACCCUCAAGAUAUGAAGUUUUGAAUAUUGUCAGGAAGAUGCAAAGGCUCACCAGUUGCAUGAUAAGAGUUGAUUUCCAACGCAGAAAAGAACUACCGCAAUUUUGUUAUGGAUUCAAGCAAGUCAAAUUGGUUGUUGUACAAAAGUAUACCAAAUUGAAGUAUUGAAUGACAAAUUUGUCUGCAAAUCUUUCUAUAA